CUGCAGUAAUGACUUUAUUAUUUAAAUUAUUUAACGUGGUUUAUCGUGGUAUAUAAAAGCUGCAAAAUGGUCAGUAGAAGGCACGAAGGAUCGUAAAUAAAUGACUAUUUAUGAGCAAGCAAAAUACAUACGAAGCUUUUCUUAUUUGAUUAGCAUUCUUUAAUACAUUAUGUAUAAUAUUUUUUACAUAGAAAGGUUGUAUGCCUUGCAUAUUUAUACCUAGCAGAUUCGAAACUGCCAGCUGGUAGACGCAUGUUUUUACGACUUUUUAACAUAAUCGAUGUUUGUUGAAACUAAUUGUUUAUUUAAUUAUUUAAACAGUUAAAGUACAAAAAAACUUCAAGCGCGCCUCCAUUUCUAACAAACUACUACUCAUUAUUGUCAAAGCAAUCUAUUCAAAUGUACCAAACUAUCUGUUAUAAUUACAAGGUUAUGGUGGGAAAAGUAAUCUUGUUGGGAAGAAUUGAUUUUAACAUAAAGUUAGCUAUUGCCGAACGAUAAAUCACAUGUUCGUUUCAACAAAAAUGACAUUUGUUGCAAAGGUAUAAAAAGUUGUGCGAAAUAAGAAAAGACAAAAAACAUGAUCUUAUGACAAGAAAUGUUAAAAAAAAAAAAAAAAAAAAAAAAAAUUGGGAUGGGAUGAAAAGAAAGG